GGCAGUGCUCGAGUCACACACCUCGGAAUCGGGCUCCUUCUUCUCUGGUUCCAGGUGCAUUACCAGAGAACCACA
rfam:Myotis davidii contig160750, whole genome shotgun sequence.